rnacentral:rRNA from 1 species
GACGACGCUGGCGGCGUGCCUAACACAUGCAAGUCGAGCGGAGAUAGGCGGAAGGUAACUGAAGCUUAUCUUAGCGGCGGACGGGUGAGUAACACGUGGGCAACCUGCCUUGAAGUGGGGGAUAACACCGGGAAAUCGGUGCUAAUACCGCAUAACAUACACAAACUGCAUGGUGAGUGUAUCAAAGGAGCAAUCCGCUUUAAGAUGGGCCCGCGGCUGAUUAGCUAGUUGGUAAGGUAACGGCUUACCAAGGCGACGAUCAGUAGCCGACCUGAGAGGGUGACCGGCCACACUGGAACUGAAACACGGUCCAUACACCUACGGGUGGCAGCAGUAGGGAAUAUUAGUAAUGGGCGAAAGCCUGAACUAGCAACGCCGCGUGUGCGAAGAAGGCCUUCGGGUCGUAAAGCACUUUUUGAGAGGAUGAGGAAGGACGGUACUCUCAGAAUAAGUCUCGGCUAACUACGUG